rnacentral:rRNA from 1 species
UACGUAGGGUGCGAGCGUUGUCCGGAAUUACUGGGCGUAAAGAGCUCGUAGGUGGUUUGUCGCGUUGUCCGUGAAAACUCACAACUCAAUUGUGGGCGUGCGGGCGAUACGGGCAGACUGGAGUACUGCAGGGGAGACUGGAAUUCCAGGUGUAGCGGUGAAAUGCGUAGAUAUCUGGAGGAAUACCGGUGGCGAAGGCGGCAUCCUGGACCGGCAUUGACGCUGAACAGCGAAAGCUAGGGGAGCAAACGGG